rnacentral:misc_RNA from 1 species
GAUGAAGAACGUAGCGAAAUGCGAUAAGUAGUGUGAAUUGCAGAAUUCAGUGAAUCAUCGAAUCUUUGAACGCACAUUGCGGCCAUAGGUAUUCCUUUGGCCAUGCCUGUUCGAGCGUCAUUUACACCCUCAAGCCUAGCUUGGUGUUGGGCGUCUGUCCCGCCGUUCUCGCGCGGACUCGCCUCAAAGUCAUUGGCGGCGGUCGUGCCGGCCCCCUCGCGCAGCACAUUUGCGCUUCUCGGAGGCCCGGCGGAUCCGCGCUCCAGCAAGACCUUUCACGACUUGACCUCGGAUCAGGUAGGGAUACCCGCUGAACUUAAGCAUAUCAAUAAGCGGAGGA